rnacentral:rRNA from 1 species
UACGUAGGGGGCGAGCGUUGUCCGAAGUUACUGGGCGUAAAGCGCGCGUAGGCGGUCUCUUAAGUCCGGGGUGAAAGGUUCAGCGCUCAACGCGAACAGUGCCCUGGAGACUGGGGGACUUGAGUGUGGGAGGGGGCAGUGAAUUCCUGGUGUAGCGGUGAAAUGCGUAGAUAUCAGGAGGAACACCGAUGGCGAAGGCAGCUGCCUGGCCUAACACUGACGCUGAGGUGCGAAAGCGUGGGGAGCGAACGGG